UACGUAGGGGGGCUAGCGUUGUCCGGAAUCAUUGGGCGUAAAGAGCGUGUAGGCGGUCCGGUAAGUCCGCUGUGAAAGUCGGGGGCUCAACCCUCGAAUGCCGGUGGAUACUGUCGGGCUAGAGUACGGAAGAGGCGAGUGGAGUUCCUGGUGUAGCGGUGAAAUGCGCAGAUAUCAGGAGGAACAUCUAUUGCGAAGGCAGCUCGCUGGGACGUAACUGACGCUGAGACGCGAAAGCGUGGGGAGCAAACAGG
rnacentral:rRNA from 1 species